CCCUUAGAUGUCCUGGGCCGCACGCGUGCUACACUGACACUUACACCGAGUUUUUCCAAUGCCGAAAGGCCAUUGGUAAUCAGCAAUAAGUGUCGUGAUGGGGAUAGAUCUUUGGAAUUAUUGAUCUUGAACGAGGAAUGCCUAGUAAUCGUAGGUCAUCAGCCUGCGAUGAUUACGUCCCUGCCCUUUGUACACACCGCCCGUCGCUCCUACCGAUUGAAUGGUCCGGUGAAGCGUUCGGACCGUGGCCUUUGGACGGUUCGCCGUCUGUUGGCUGCGGGAAGUUCGUUAAACCUUNUNAUUUAGNGGAAGGAGAANUCGUANCA
rnacentral:rRNA from 1 species